rnacentral:sRNA from 1 species
UACUGCAGGAAAAGGUCCCGCAGAGCUGAGCAGUCAAGAUGUGUGACUUCACCGAAGACCAGACCGCAGAGUUCAAGGAGGCCUUCCAGCUGUUUGACCGAACAGGUGAUGGCAAGAUCCUGUACAGCCAGUGUGGGGAUGUGAUGAGGGCCCUGGGCCAGAACCCUACCAACGCCGAGGUGCUCAAGGUCCUGGGGAACCCCAAGAGUGAUGAGAUGAAUGUGAAGGUGCUGGACUUUGAGCACUUUCUGCCCAUGCUGCAGACAGUGGCCAAGAACAAGGACCAGGGCACCUAUGAGGAUUAUGUCGAAGGACUUCGGGUGUUUGACAAGGAAGGAAAUGGCACCGUCAUGGGUGCUGAAAUCCGGCAUGUUCUUGUCACACUGGGUAAGGUUCUGUGUCCUUGUCCUUGAGCUGAGAUGGCACCCUGAGAUACCUCACUUAUCACCCAAUUCCAAAAAUGCUUUCUUUCCCCCUGCAGGUGAGAAGAUGACAGAGGAAGAAGUAGAGAUGCUAGUGGCAGGGCACGAGGACAGCAAUGGUUGUAUCAACUAUGAAGGUAAGAGGUAAACUGCGCUUUCU